rnacentral:rRNA from 1 species
AUUGAACGCUGGCGGCAGGCCUAACACAUGCAAGUCGAACGAGUGGCGGACGGGUGAGGAAUGUCUGGGAAACUGCCUGAUGGCGGGGGAAAACUACUGGAAACGGUAGCUAAUACCGCAUACAAUCGGAUGUGUCCAGAGGGGAUUAGCUAGUAGGUGGGGUAAAGGCUCACCUAGGCGACGAUCCCUAGCUGGUCUGAGAGGAUGACCACCCACACUGGAAUUGAGAUACGGUCCAGACACCUACGGGAGGCAGAAGUGGGGAAUAUUGCACAAUGGGCGCAAGCCUGAUGCAGCCAGGCCGCUUGUAGGAAGAAGGCCUUGGGGUUGUAAAGUACUUUCAGCGGGGAGGCGUUACCCGCAGAAGAAGCACCGGCUAACUCCGUGCCAGCAGCCGCGGUAAUAC